GACGAGCGCUGGCGGCGUGCCUAAUACAUGCAAGUUGAGCGCUGAAGGUUGGUACUUGUACCAACUGGAUGAGCAGCGAACGGGUGAGUAACGCGUGGGGAAUCUGCCUUUGAGCGGGGGACAACAUUUGGAAACGAAUGCUAAUACCGCAUAAAAACUUUAAACACAAGUUUUAAGUUUGAAAGAUGCAAUUGCAUCACUCAAAGAUGAUCCCGCGUUGUAUUAGCUAGUUGGUGAGGUAAAGGCUCACCAAGGCGAUGAUACAUAGCCGACCUGAGAGGGUGAUCGGCCACAUUGGGACUGAGACACGGCCCAAACUCCUACGGGAGGCAGCAGUAGGGAAUCUUCGGCAAUGGACGAAAGUCUGACCGAGCAACGCCGCGUGAGUGAAGAAGGUUUUCGGAUCGUAAAACUCUGUUGGUAGAGAAGAACGUUGGUGAGAGUGGAAAGCUCAUCAAGUGACGGUAACUACCCAGAAAGGGACGGCUAACUACGUG
rnacentral:rRNA from 1 species